CAUGAUAAUCUAAUGAGCCCACGCAAUGAUAUGAUGAGACAUUCUAUUUGACCUUAGAAUGAGACAGGAACUUUCCACCCCUAUAAUGUCAAAUAACUAAAUCUGUAACAGACAAGUCUUGCAGAAAGCCCCUGUCUGGGUUGCAGCUGUGAUGUGUGACUUUUCUACACAGAAAAGAGAACUGGAGCAGAUGAGGAAAAUACUGCUUUAUUGUCUUACUAAUCACUCUUUUCUUUUGAUAUAUUUUUGUUAUUGGAGGAAUAUACUCCCAUUUGCCCCACUAUUCAUUAUUUACAAUAUGUGUUUUUGUCAGAUAUGAUGAUGUCUCCUGAUAUAGCGUACUUCUACUUAACCCCUGUUAUAAUGCGUUUCUAACUAACUGCUAAAACCACAAGAGCUGUGUGUGGGUGCUGGCUGGAGACAGAUCUGCAGAGGGGCUUCCCCUAGAUGGGUGCAUACACAGGUCAAGAGUUCAUAGACAGGACUAGGAGGAAAAGCAGAUGUGAUAGAUGCAGCAUUUGUAUACUGCUCUCUGUGUAUGCGUGAUUUGCUUACUGCACCCCAGAUGUCAGUGGUGUCAAGUAUGUCAAGGAGGAGUGAUACUUUCACCUGCCCUAUUGUUUCUGUGUGCAGAGGUAUCUCUGUGUGCAGACCACAGACUUUUGAGAGAUGAUUCUGCCUGAAAACAGCUGAUGGCAACAAUAGAUAUUAGGGGGUAACUGAUCAGAGGAGUGGCCAAAAAGAUUGAACGCUGCUGAUGGAUAAAAGGAGGGAGUCGAAAGAGUUCGAGAGCUUUUGGACAUCCAGACUGCUUGGCUGACGGUUCUUCAAAAGCCCAGGAUCCUGAUCUUCGCUUUAUUCACUUAUGCUCGAUAAAUAAAUUCAUUGAUUUUGAUUAAUUGA
rnacentral:lncRNA from 1 species